ensembl:lncRNA
GUUUUUAGUUUGGUUUGAUUCAUCUUUAGUUUAAUUUCGUUGUUGUUAUUUGGGUGUUUUAUUUUUUAGUGUUGUUUUUCUGGAUGAAACAGGAGCAAGGGAGGCUGUUUGGCACCUUCAGAUCAUGCUUGGAAUCUUAACAAAUACCUCAGGACACUGAAGCCCUGGAUCUGAAGCCCACAUCCCCAAAGCACUACAGAGCAAUUUACCACAACACAUCUCACUGAAUAGCAAAGGUAAUCUCUCUUCAAAAGUCCAAAUUUCUAGGUGUCCAUGCCAUUUAUUUCCUUGAUUAGCUAAUUUUUUCCCAGUGGUUUGUGUAACAAAACAGUAUAAUUCAUGGCUGAAUCUCAAGGCUUUCAGGUCAGAUAAAGCCUCUAUUGCUUCUAUUCUGUUUGUAGUGAGAGCUGAUAAAUUGAACAGAAACAAGAAUUGAGCCUAACACUAAUAAAGGAGCACUUGAUAACACAAGCUCCAUCAAUGUGAGCGAUGUUUCCACUUAAGAUGAUGCAGCUGAGAUAGGAGAGAGACCCAAGCCUCAGUCUAAUUUUAUAUACUUGCUCACUUAAGUGACAUUCAUGGGGAUUAACAUAAACAGCCUAAUUUAUUUGUGUGACCAGAGUAUUAUAUGAUACAGACCAAUUUUCCCAUUUUUUCCUCUUGCUACUGCUGUACAUGGAUUUCUGCAACUGCCCAGUCAGUGCAAAGCACCAACUGCUAAGAGAAGAAAAGCUGUGCUCAUUCUUUCCCAUAGACUUCCAUGUUUAAAGAUCAAUUUUGUAUUAUAUUUUCCUCUACAGAUUUUCAUCUGUUCUGUCUUCAGUUUGAAAUGUUCUCAGCAGUGAACAUCUGUUAGAAAAUCUCUUACAAAACCCCACUUAGUCUAUGGCCCUUUAAUCAAAGAAGGGUGAAGGUAUUAAGAAUUUAAAAUAAUAUAUCCAAGUUUGAAAACAAAUACAUGUGUUUUCUAUUUGAGAAUGUGUGUUAUUACUUUCACAUUCUGACCUGUUAAGUACACAUGCUCUACCACAAGUCUCUCUGGAAUUUUGGCAAGAACCAGCAUUUAUUUAAUAAAAGGCCUUAUUAAUCGUAGGACUCUAUCGUUGAUACUUUGCAUUUACACAGCACAUUACAUUUUCAAAGUGCUCCAACAUUAAAUAAUUCCAGCAGCCUGUUUAUUUGCAUAGAUGGAUGCACACAAUUGUAGAGGAAAUUAUGAAAUGUGUUCACAUGUUUCUGUCUGAAAGGAGUUAUAAAAACUAAAUUCUUGAGCAAAUUGAAGAUAGUUCACUAUUUUUGGCACCACAUUGUGAGAGAAAGGCUCAAAGCACAGUAAAAUUAUUCCAGUAUGUUUGAUAAGGAUUUGAGAGUGGGAGUUCUCUCACCUGGCUUUACUUGCCUUUGAAGGAGAGUUUUCCAUUAGAGUUGUUCAUCCCAACCCCUUUAUAGUCCAAAGGAAAGGCUGAUGACAACCUCUAGAGAGGUCCCCUGUAGGAGAGCUGCUUCUCCCCUGGGACUUCUAACCAGCUCUAUCCCAUGGACACAGACCCAGGGAAGAGGAACAUGUAAUGCAGAUUAAUUCAGCUCAGUGUCUGCCCAUCUCUGGCCUAUUUAACUGGACAACAUGAACUAGAAAAAUGAAUGUAGCACUUAAAAGGACCAAAGGCAUUUUGUUGCCACUGGACAGCACCAGUAAAACACGCAUUGCAAAUUAUUCUGAGCCAAUCAUUGAUGCAGACUACUUACAAACAAGGAGUUCUUUGAUCCCAAGAUACAAAUGAGAUUUUAGAAGCCCAGAAACAUUAAGUGUCUUAUAUGUGUCCAGGUAUCUUACAUCAGUAGUUCUAACAUUUGGAAAUUCUUUCCUUAUUUUGAUAUGAAAAUACUUCCCUUCACAAGCAGACAAGCAAGGCCAGAUCCUGGGUCAACAUAAGAGACAACCUUUAGAGCUGCUACGUUAUUUUUGAUUAAGACUAGGGAAUCCCACCUGCAGCUGACUGAAUUUGAGAUGGUAUCUUCUUAUUCUAUAGGAGAAAACCAAGAUUUAAAAAAAACACACAACCAAAAAAACGCCUAUGUAACUUUAGACCCCAUCAGAGUUCCAGUGAAAUUAAUUGGAAAACUAUAAUACUUAUUUGGUUUGGGCAGCACAGCCACACAAAAAUAGCUUAAACAAAACUCAGCUUAUACACUUAUAUCAGAGAAAUUUAAAAAAAGCAAGCUUAUGUCUAAUCAGAAAAUCACUAGUGGAUUAUUUUAGUGAAAAUAAAAUCCAGAGAAUACCCAAAACAAUCUCCUCAAAAUUUGCUGCCAGAGGUUUUUGGUAGAGGACAGCUCCUAUUUGAGUGCUGCCUACCUGCAAGGGCUACCUGGUGGGAGCAGGGUGCUGCUUGAAGCUGCUGCCCAGCUGUGCAAUGAUUUGCCUGGGCAAACGCUCACAUGCCAUCACAGCAGCUGGCUGCCAAACCCACAAAUCCAGCUUUCUCCACAGUGGUUAAUACCACAUGCCAUGGCUAUGAGCAGGAUUCUGUGCUGCACGAGGGAGUGCAGGGCUGGGGGAAGAGGUGUUACACAGCUCUGCUGUUGGCAGUUCUGCUGACGCACAUGACAGCAUUAGCAAGAAGUUGAAACAUGAACAUGUGUGGGAUGACUCUCCUUUUUAUUAUUAACCCAUGUCCAACAGUGGGGAAUAGGGAGAAUGCUUUUCCCAGGUUGAGAAGAUCAUCUCUUGAGCAUUUGCGUCAACACUUGUGCUUGAUUACCCUGGGGACAGAAAACAACUCUAGGAGCUGUGCUGGGGGGGCUGCAUUUGCACUCUUUCCUGGCUAAAAACCCAAAUCAUGCCAACCAAAAUAGCCAGGGGACUCUUCCUGCUCUUGGGCAGGUAUUUGAAAACAUGGAAGAACUGUCUAUUCCAUGGUUCUUUGCUGUCCCUUAAUUUUCAUCUUCCCUUUUCAUCCUCCUCUGCACACUUCAAAGGUCCUCUGUCUCCUUUUGGAGAAAGGAGGAGACACACAUACUGUCUCAAGAUGUAGGUGAGCCCGAGAUGUCUCUCGUCUUUCCUAACCAUUACUCACCCAUCUCCCACACACAAGACUAUUUCAUUUAUCUGCACCACAUUUUGUCUGUCAUUUUAUCGCCUGGCACUCAGCAGCUGUUGGGUAAUUACAACACGGACACACCACAUGUAUCUUGUCAUUCGAAAACAACCCCCAAAAACCCCACAUAGUGGAGUGAAACCCCAACCAAACCACACCCAAACUCUUCACAACACAUGUUCAGCUUCAACUUCAACGAAAGCUCCCUGGAGAGCUCUGAGCAGAUGUGUCCUGCAAGCUUGUCCUGGUUUUAUACAAACUGCUUAAUCAAACAUCCCACCACACCUUUCAAGUUACUUUGACAGCUGUAUCUUAAGGAGUUGGAGGAAGGCUGGUUUAGGAAGAGAACAGGAAGGGCCAAGAUAGACCAGGCCCAUGCAUUUCAGAGAGGUACUUUACAAAAACCACAUGGGAUUAUUAUUUGGGAUGUUAAAAGUUGUCUACACAGGAGUUAACUCUGGGAUGAACAAUUAUCACGAGGAUUCAGCAAGUUGAUGGCACAUCUCACUUUCUUCAAAGUCCACAACUGGAUUAUGUCCAACCAGUUCAUUCUCCAAGAAGUUAAAGUCUCUCUCCCUUUCUAAUUUCCAAGAAAAGCACACUCAUUUUUCACUCAUACCACACCACUUCUCCCCUUCACACUGCAGGAUUACAGUGGUUUACAGCAUAGAGAGUUUUCUAACUUCCAUUUUUCAGUUUAUCAUCACAAGAUCUAAAAGCAGCUUGCUUUCUAUGUAAAUCCACAGGCCACCUCAUUUCUCAGUGUGGACAUGAAAGUGCACUUCAGAGCAACAACAUUCCUGUUCCAAAACCUAGCACAGGAAUAUUAGCAGAAGAGUUAAAACCACACAGUUGGAUCAUGUCCUCAAUAGGAAACAGAGUCCUGAGUAAAUAAACACACAUCUCAAAGUGUUUCUACUUUAUUCUUUAAAAAAAACCCCAAAACUAAGCAUGGCCCCCAAAACCCCCACAAAACAAUUUUCCAGAUUCUCAAAUCUUUAAAUAAUUAACACUACCCUGAUGUCUUGGUGAUAUGCAUAAUGAAGAGAAGUCUGAGAGCUUCCCCACUCCCAGGGUGCUACUGCAGUGUUGCCAUGAAAAGCACAGCACCAAAGGAAGCUCUGUCACAUGAAGAUUUACAGUUACAAUACAAGAUUUACAAUUUGACCCCAAAGCCAAAUCAUCAUAGUUUUCUCUUUUAUGGAGACAUGAUAGGAUGUUGUAUAUACCAAAACCUCCCUAAUUACUGUGGUUUGCUUUUGAAUAUUAAUCAGGAAAAUAUACAAGUCCAUGAAAUCUAAAUGGUAAACAACAUGCAAAAGGGGGAAAAAAAUGAAAAUGGGAAAAGCACUCAUACUCUUGCUCUUAUUUGUGUAUGUAAGAACCUCCUCCUGGGACUAGAGCCUGGUAAAAUUCCAUGUUUACACUGCUUAUGAAAUUCAAGGAUAGAGAGAACAUAUGAUUGGACAGAUUCCUUUAAAGUUUUUAUUACUUUGAGUCCAGGUCUGGUAGAAUUAUGAAGAUCUUCCCAAGCAGAAUCAAUAAAGGCUUUACAGCAUCCUGGAUAGUUGGAAAGUUUGUUUUUAUCUUCUUCCUAGCUUUGUUCUGCUUCUCCCCCUUUGAAGUUCGCUGCAGAAUAGAAACAUUUUGGCGUUUGAUGGUACUAGUCAAAAAGUUUCUGCUGCACACUGGUAAUCCAGUAACCCUUUUAGAAAAGAGGGCUGUACAUAAACUAAGGAUAACUAUUAGAGCAGCCAUUGAUCCCUCUGUCAUGUCUGCAGGGGGAAAUCACUGCUACUGACAAGCUGCAGGAGAUAAAAUUGGUUUGGACUAUGGUGAGGGAAUCUGUCAAUACAGCUGCAGAAGCACAGCCCUUCAUAGCACCAGCCAUUUCUCCUGUGCAAACCAGCAGGGCCAUCAAAAGCAGCUGAAUAUUAAGCUUCAACCUACAGAAAACAUAGAGCACAGGAGGUGUGGAGCCCCCAAAUAAUACGUGACCACCUGUUCCUUGGGCAGACUCAUCGCGCAUCCCGCUCAUUCCAGCGCGCUCACAGGAAUAUAUUGUUUCACUGCCAUAUGUACCAGCCAUAAAUCACAGCCAGAGCCUUUUAGUUAGUGUUGUUAGCACUGCAUUUACAUCUGCAAACCACAGAAACUGUUGUGGUGCUAGCAGCACACAGUUCCCUCACAUGCUUCCAAAAACAAAAGUGGGUUUAAACAAGUAACAUAACCUAAUGGGCAGAGUCGAGCCCAGAGCCUGAAUUCCUCCUCUUGCUUGUGGAUCCUCUGCUUGUAUUUAAAGACCUCCCAGGUUAUGAAGCUGUCCCAUGAAGAGGCUGGAGAAUGACAGCUGCAAACCUCAUGCUGCCCAUCAAACCCAGCACAGAGUUCAAGAGCCCACAAGAAGAACUUUGCUUAUUUUUAUUUCAACAAACAAUAUUUUUCUCCUGGGUUUAUUCUCCCAACUCCUCCUCUCCGUGUAUGUGUAAUUGACUCUUUGCUACUCUGGAAAACUGCUGCUAAGACCACGAACCAUGGAUUAUAUUACAAACACUUUAAAUAUCUUCUAAAGCAAAGAACAGUCAUGACCGCUCAUUUCAUUCUUAAAAACUCAUUCUGAUGUUCAGCACCAGGAGAUGCAUUAAUGAAAAGGAAGUAUCACUGGACUCACAGAAGACAAAUUGUUUCCUCUCCAACACUUAAGGAAUGACAGCUCACUCCUCAGCUAUGAGUGUCCUCAGGAGAGAGUGGCUUCAGCAGCAGGGGGGUCUGCAAGGUCUGCCUUGGCAGCCACGGCAGCUGUGCCAAUGCCUUCCUCUCCAGCUCAAACCCUGGCUCCGUGCUAGGCAUCCUCAAAAACCAGCAACAAAUAGGGAGGAGAGAACUGCUGAUCUCCUCUAGUGGUUUUUCCAGAACAAAACAAUGUUUUCAGAGAAGACAAGAAAUCCAACAGCUUUGGGAAGUGAGCACACCAGUACCACCAAGGGAAAUCCAUUGCUCUCUUUGGAAAGCUGGGAGCUUACAGCCCUGACAGGCAAAUUCUAUCCUUAUUGCAAGCAUUUGUAUUUUUCAGAACUCCAGGGUUACCCUGCCCCCAUCACACACAAAAACUGUGGCAAGCACUGCACAAAUACAGUCCCAAAGGUAACCCAUUGCCCAAAAAGCUCUCAAUUCAUAAAGUAACAGCCCAACCAAACCAAGAGAAAAGUACAAAACCUCCUAAUGAUCAAUGUAGUAAAUGUGUCCUAUUAGCCAAGCCUUCCUUUAUUUUUUAAAAACCUUGAGAGAUUUACAAGUGGGACUCAGGACAGGAAGGAUAAGAUGGUUUUGCAGAUGCCUACAUGCAGCUGCUCCCAAGCAUGAAGGUGCUUGUUUGAAAUAAAUGUGAGAAUUGAGCAAUAGAAGCACUGGCACCAGCUCUGUGUUAUUUUUGAUGAAGAUAAUUUGUUUUCCUAUGCAGUUGCAACACAAACUGAGGUAAUGCUAAAUGUAUGUUUACUCCAUGAGAUUAUUUUAGAACUCUGCAUCUGAAAGUUUAACAUAAACUUCUUUCUAAAUAUAAGUAGAAAUAAUCUUUUACAAAUGCUGACAAUCAGUUGAAACCUCAUGUGGGAUUCUGUGUUAAGAAACCAACAGAACAAAAAAACCCUUGAAGACUGCAGAGUACUUUACACACAAUCUUCUUUAAAAAGCAUUCAGUACAAGGCCACAGGAGAGCUCACCUUCAGGGAUAUUGGAGGAAUACCAGUGAUUACUAAGCACUCCUUUGGAACAUCAGAAUUAAAUAAUAAAAAUCCCCUACAAUUAUAAUUGUAUCUACAUAAACAUAGAAGGUCAAGAAGGUGCAUCCCAUUAAGAGGAGCUGUGCUGGUCAGAAAUGCAUCUUACUCCUCCAAAAAAGUCAAUGGCAGUUUGGCAGCUGAUCUGCUUAUGACUUGGAAAGCCUUCUACUAAGAUAAAGCAAAUGUCUAAUUUGACAGAAUUGCCAAAACUGUUCUUAUCUGUUUUUACUAAUUCUUAAGCUAAUGGUUUACAAAUGUCUGCUCAUUAGCAGUGCCCAAAAAAGCACACUACAUGCAGCUUUUUUUUAAAGUCAUACAAUACAAAAGUCAUAACAGAAGGAAAAAGAAAGGAAAAAAACUUCUUGUAAAAUAAAGAAGCAUGAGAUAUUUCAGGCAAAAAAACAUGUGGAACUAAGUUAAGUAAUUCAGGAGAGAAAUCUGCACAGCAGAUAUUGAAUUUAUUACUCAUAAAGGAGAGCUAACCAAAAUUCUAAUUGAAAAGCCCACUUCUCUAUUAUUUCAAACCAUGACAAGGCAAUGCAAAAAAUGGAAAUAUUAAUUUCCAAAUUUUUUUCCUGGUAGUUCACUGGAGUUCUCGAAAGAUCACCAAGUAUGCAGCACAAAAGUUUCAUUAGCACUUGGGAAAACAUUCUUGUAAGGUAAAACUCUCCAAGCUUCAAUGUGUCAGCACCACAGGGUGGGUGCACCCACCACAGCUCGGGAGCAGGGGUGCAAAAUAAACAAACAGUUACUAUAUGCAAAUACUUACACUAAAAAAAAAAAAAAAAAAAAAAAAAAA